ACUAGAUCGGCAUCGAACUAGUAUUAAAGGAGCGAAUGCUCCGCUACUGGAUGGACUCGCGGUGCAUUAGCUAGUUGGUGAGGUAGAGGCUCACCAAGGCGAUGAUACAUAGCCGACCUGAGAGGGUGAACGGCCACAUUGGGACUGAGACACGGCCCAGACUCCUACGGGAGGCAGCAGUAGGGGAAUUUUCGUCAAUGGGGGAAACCCUGAACGAGCAAUGCCGCGUGAGUGAAGAAGGAUUUCGGUCU
rnacentral:rRNA from 1 species